GAUCCGGUGGCCUAGUGGUUAGAGCGUCCGCCUCAUGUGCGGGAGGUCGUGAGUUCGACUCGAGUCAUACCGAAGACUUACA